GCUAAACCAGCCCUACAUUACUUCAAAUUAAUUAAACCACACAUAACAUAACCAACAUAAGACUUAAGCAUAAAUCCAUGAAAAUAAUUUCACUAAACCAACCAGUUCAACAAAACAUUAUUCCAGAACAUAAGCACCCUAACAUGCUUCUAAAUUCCGUUCUAACAUCCUAACAAAUCCAACAAUAAUCUAAAACAUCAAUGAGCGCCUAGAUCAUCCUCUUCUCCUCGCCAUGAUUCCACGGAUCACACUUUACCUUUACCUGCAUCAUAGAAAGAGAUGCAUAAGUAUUUCAUAAAUACUUAGUGAGACAAUCAUCCCACCACUGGCUAUACACAAACAGAAAUCAAUACAUUCAAGUAUUAACUCAAACCACCAUCAAUAUAACACGAAAGAACACAAAAAUGACCCGUCAGACAAGUAGUGUCGAUCGACACCAUCGAUGGUGUCGCUUGACACUCGCGACCAUCCUCGCGAGAAAGUAAGUUGGUGUCGUUCGAUACCCACCAUUGGUGUCGAGCGCCACCGAAACCUAACAUCGUUCCAUCCGCUUCUCAUCAACGGAUCCAAUGCCUCUAGCACACCAUGACCGGUUAGUCACCUCCUCAGGCUCGUACCAAGACACCAAACACAUAAAACAAGCAUACAAACAAUGAAUCAAUCAUCAAUCAGAGAAAAACACCCAAAUAUGCAUCAAAACUGCUUAUAUCAGCCUAGUCAUGCACUCACCUUUCAAAAUGAUUGAAACAAGAACGCCAAACACUCAACUACAACAACCAAGGACUCUCCUAACACCACAGCAACGAGAUCUCUCUUCCCAAGGAUGGAAUCACCAAGAACAGGUCUCAAAUCACUCUCAAACCUCACAAAACCUCUCUUGAGAAAUUUGAACUUUUUAGAGAAGAAAAAAAAACGGCUGUUCUAACCCUAGGUCGACCUUUCCUCUUUUAAAUGCGACUUAGGUUAAACCAAACAAUAACCCGCUCUGAGGUGGCAACUUUCAAGUCAUACCGGCUCACUAUUAGGCCACCAGCCUUCCAGCUACGGUAUCCGGGAAGUCUCAUCCUCGCUCUUGGGUCGUCACCCUCAAGCGUGCACUCGAAUCGUCAUCCGAGGCCAUCACAUCAUAUUCGAGCAAAUAAUUCUAAACGCCCUCGAGCAUAUCUCUCGAUCAGAUAUACCUCUCGUGGUCCACUUAUAGCAUCGCAAUGCUAUACUAACCACCACCCCGAGACUUUCCAAAAAUAGAACCGUCAAACCCGACACUUUCUAUUUUUAGAAACUCGCACAUAUCUCUUUUACACAUGACACAACAAGUCAACUUCCAGAAAUACUCAUCUUAUUAAUCUCAAAUGUCAUAAUCAUUACACCAAAAAUGAAAAUACAAAAGAGAUACAACCAACAAAUCCAACAAUGUAAUCAAACUCCAGAAAAUCCUAACAUACUUUUAAUUUCGAGGUUAACAAUAAUAAAAUAAAGCAUAAACUCAUUCAAUGACACUAUAUCAUCCGUCUCUUUGUCGACACGGUCCCACAGUCACAUUUCUCUUUACCUUUAUCACAAGAAAAGAGAUGCGAGAAUAUUAUCAUAAAUACUUAGUGAGGCGGUCCUCCCAUCUAUUAGGCUAUACAUCCAAGUAUAGUAAGCAAACCAACAUGCACAAAUAAAAGUCACCCAACCAAACUUGGCACAAAAGGAACGAACAACUCUCUGACCCGCACUGGUGUCGACUGUCACCCCCACAGCGAUGAUCUGGUGUCGAUCGACGCUGGCUCCACGUAGCUACUGGUGUCGACCAACAUCCACCUAGUGUCGAUCGUCAUUGGCUCCGCAAAUGCCCCAUAAUCACCUCUUCUCCCAAUGCAUCCAAACACAAAUCCUAACAUCAAUCAUGCAAUACACAACACCAAUCUCAGAGAAACAAACACACAAUCAAAACCCGAAUCCAUUUACACAAUCUAAACACACAUCAUAAAGGUUCACAAGUUUAGAUUAGCAAUAGACACGCUCUCGCCUUUGAUUUGGUUUGAUUGGGAGACAUAAAUAGGAAGAACACAAAAAGAGUAGAGCCUUCUCACACAAAUCUCCUCAACUCUUUGCCCAAACACACAACAACUACCCUCAAACACCUCUAGAACGCCUCCAUAAACUUUUUCUGAAGCCUCAACUUUCAUCUCCUUAAAAUCACACAAGCUAAACAUUUUGUCCUUUUCUCUUUAGAAAUAACAAAACUCUCAAAAAAAAAAAAAAAAAAAAAAGAAAAAAAGAAGAGAGGUUGCUUGAACUUUUAUCAUAGACUCAAGGGUUUUGUUUUAACCCAAUUCACUUAAACUAACAAUUAAGCCCAAACCACCAAACUACCAAAAUUGAUGGUGUCGAUGGACAACAAGGACGGUACAUAUCAUCACAUAAUCAAACAACAACAUCACCGUUAUACAUAUCAUCAAUCAAUCAUAUUAUCACAUAAACUUAUCCUACACAAUCGAAUCUUUACCUACAUGCUUCAAGUGAAGAAACAUAACCAAAAAAAAAAAAAAAGCAUGUUCUGAAGAAGCCACUUUGGUUCCGUUUUCAUAUGUUUUAUUAAUUUGGCCAGUUUCACCUGUUUCUUGCGCAAAAAGCAACGUGAAUAACUCCUCGAUCUCAACUCCGAUUCAGACACUGUCAGUUUCUGUAUCUUCUAAGACAAAAGAUCUAUUCUAGAUCCACCAUGUUUUCUGAUCUUACCUCUGAUCUGGCAAGAAACUCUUCUUCUUUUCUCUUCUUGCUUCUUCGCUUCUGAUUUGCUUCGCCUCUCUCAAUUCUUCAUAUUCAUGGUUGUGAUCAUCUCUUCUCCUCGGCAACGUCCUCGGCCUCCAUCCCCACUUACUUCUUCUAUUUCUCCGACCUGGUCUUGGCUAGCUCCUUGUCUCCAGUGGUUUGUUAACUGCGAUCAAAAACCUUCUCUAUCCUUUGGUGUCUUGGGUGCUGUUUUUAGGGUUUAGUUUUGGGUUUCUCUUUGACAGCUAAGGAAG
rnacentral:lncRNA from 1 species